AUUAAAUGAUAAUGUUUAUUUCGCCAUAAAGUGAUACACACACUUAACGAAUAUCGAAAAAAAAAAAAUACAUUUGAAAUCAAUAUGUCAUGGUAGCAAAAUGACAAUACAAAAAUGGCUACUUUUUAACAUUAAGCACAUCACAAUCUUUAGUAAUGUACCCGAUACUAUCCAGCUACCGCUAGUUACUACUAGUUAACCUCUAGAAAUCAUUGAAAGCUCUCUAGUAUCUCGGACAGACAUCAGUCCCUAGUGUUAGCCGAGAGGGAAAAAAGUCGAAGAAAAAAGUUCUUGGUACUCUUUUAAAAAAAUUAACGUCAAUAUACCAAAAAAAAAUGCGCAGUAUGAUCAUAUGAGUAAGAUAAUUCAAAUAUAAAACUAAUAUAUAAAUAUUUUUAAUAAUAAAAUAUGAAUUUAAUUUUUUUUUUUACUAACCGUACUUUUCAAGUAUAUAUUUCGAGUUCGAGGUCAUGACGUUCCUAUUCUUAGUUUGACUACUUUAUAAAUAAGUCUAUUUUUAAAAGAUACAUAAAAUUGAUAAAUUUUCAAUGAUAAAAACAUAUUUUCAAAAGUCUUUAAACGUUAUAUUAUGUAAAUAAAUUUGUGGUCAAGAAAAUAGUAUAGUUGAAUUGUUUAGAAGAAUAAUCUUAAACAAAAUUUAAGUGAAUAUAAAACAUAUAUGUACAUAAAAAUAUGUAAUCUAAAACAUUAUGUUUAAAAAACGUCUCAAUGAAAUAUAAAUCAUAAUGAAAUAUAUCAAACUCGGUUCCUAAUUACAGAAAACCAUUCGUUUUGUUCAAUGACGAUCAUUCGAAUUUGUUGGUAGCAAAACGAACCGUUAUUCAAUAUAGGAACUUGUUUUUAAACAUAUAUCUAUAAAAGUCGUUAUAAUAUUUUCCCAUAUCUGUAAUAUAAUUUAACAAGACAUUAAUAUUAGUAGAGAAUUAUUUUCGUUCCUUUAAUACGGGUUUUCGGUUUGUAAACGGUGGGUAACCGUUAAAAUGUCAUAUUAAAUAAAUUGACAAUAAUAUUGUUUUAUAUGUAAA